rnacentral:lncRNA from 1 species
GACGGAAAAGAGCUUCAGUACAGAGGACACAGUGACCAUAACCAACAUAGUUAAUGUGUAGAUCUUAUGUCUGUUUGUAAAAUAUAUUUAACUAUAAUAUUAUAUGAUUUAAAAUCUUCAGGUGAUUUUGGAUAUUUCCCAUGAUUCUCCUGCCGCUAUGAAAAUGCCGUUUUAAAAGUAUUUCCCUGUUGAGCUGUAAGCAACGUCUUUGUGGUCUUUCACUCUGAGCUUGACUAAUGAUUGCUUUGCCAAGACAUUUAACCCCAGACUAUCUGUCUUCUCGCUAAGGAUAGAAAAGUCUCUGAACCAUGAAAUAGAACCAGUUGUACUCCACAAUGGUUAUAGAGUUUUCACCAUGCGCCAGAAUAAAUACUUUAGAUUCGGUUAUUAAAGUAGGAAUCCGCAGGUCGUGGGUGACCCCAAAAUAAAAAAAAGGAUCAAUCCAGAAACACUGGAAUUAAUUUUGAAAGGUGGAAGAGUGACGCUGAAAUGGCCACCGUUCUCAUGGAUUGGUAGGGCGUGGCAAUUCCUUGGUCUCGCAUAGGGCGGCAGAAGUCAAUAUAUCAUCCAAACACCGGCUUUGACGGCACUUUCACACAACAGCGUCGGUCCUUACAGAAUGCUGACACCAUUAUUUGAAGCAUCAGGGAGUUCUUGUUUUUUGUUUUGGUGGUGACGUCGGGUCUGGGUGCAGACGCCGAUGGAACCAGGAGUUCCUCAGCUGGCUUGUAGGGCUUCGGCGCCUUAGCUGGCUUGAGAGGUUUCCUUGCCUCGGUUGGCUCGGCAGGCUCCCAUCCCAUGUCAUGCCUCAGCCGGCUCGUCAGACUCCCAUGCCCCAACCGACCCAUCAGGCUCCCACGCCUCAGCGGGAUCGUCAGGCUCCCACGCCUCAGCGGGCUUGUCGGGCUCCCACGCCUCAGCCGGCUCGUCCGGCUUCUGCGCCUCAGCGGGCUUGUCCAGCCCCCAUGCCUCAGUUGGCCUGUCAGGCUCGCCCAGGUGGGUUGCAGGGUGGUGCCCCUAGAGGGGGAGGUACUGUCAUGUCUGCUUCCCCUCUCUGGUGCUCGAGGGCGCCAGGCUGCCCUUCAUUAUGCACACCUGUCACCAUCAUUACGCGCAUCUGCGCUCAUUGUACUCACCUGGACUCCUUCACAUUGUAGAUUGCCCCCUCUAUAUCUGUAUGUUCCUCAGUUUUGUUCCCCGUGUCAGCAUUAUUGUCGUAAUGUUGUUUUAUUCCCCCUGUCCAGACACUGUCCUUCCUCUGUUUGAUGUCCGUUUUCCAUUAAAUUUUCACUCCCUGUACUUGC